rnacentral:tRNA from 1 species
GCCUGGGUGGCUCAGUCAGUUGGGCGUCUGACUUUGGCUCAGGGACAUGAUGUCACGGUUUGUGAGUUCGAGACCCGCCUUGGGCU